rnacentral:rRNA from 1 species
UACGGGGGGGCAAGCGUUGUUCGGAAUUACUGGGCGUAAAGGGCUCGUAGGUGGCCAACUAAGUCAGACGUGAAAUCCCUCGGCUUAACCGGGGAACUGCGUCUGAUACUGGAUGGCUUGAGUUCGGGGAGAGGGAUGCGGAAUUCCAGGUGUAGCGGUGAAAUGCGUAGAUAUCUGGAGGAACACCGGUGGCGAAGGCGGCAUCCUGGACCCGACGACUGAACACUGAGGAG